AACAGCUCAAAUUUGAAAUCUGGCUUCGGCCCGAGUUGUAAUUUGCAGAGGAUGUUUCUGGCGCGGUGCCUUCCGAGUUCCCUGGAACGGGACGCCACAGAGGGUGAGAGCCCCGUAUGGUUGGACACCAAGCCUGUGUGAAACUCCUUCGACGAGUCGAGUAGUUUGGGAAUGCUGCUCAAAAUGGGAGGUAAAUCUCUUCUAAAGCUAAAUACCGGCCAGAGACCGAUAGCGCACAAGUAGAGUGAUCGAAAGAUGAAAAGCACCUUGAAAAGGGGGUUAAACAGUACGUGAAAUUGUUGAAAGGGAAGCGCUUGUGACCAGACUUGCGCCGGGCGGCUCAUCCGGGGUUCUCCCCGGUGCACUCCGCCCGGUUCAGGCCAGCAUCGGUUCUCGUUGGGGGAUAAGAACGAUAGGAACGUGGCCCUCCUUCGGGUGGGUGUUAUAGCCUGUCGUACGAUACCCUGACGGGGACCGAGGUUCGCGCUCCGCAAGGAUGCUGGCGUAAUGGUCAUCAGCGACCCGUCUUGAAACACGGACCAAGGAGUCGUCCAUUAGAGCGAGCGUUUGGGUGUAAAACCCGCACGCGUAAUGAAAGUGAAAUUAGGUGAGAGCUUCGGCGCAUCAUCGACCGAUCCUGAUGUUCUCGGAUGGAUUUGAGUAAGAGUUUUAACGGACGGACCCGAAAGACAGUGAACUAUGCUUGUAUAGGGUGAAGCCAGAGGAAACUCUGGUGGAGGCUCGCAGCGGUUCUGACGUGCAAAUCGAUCGUCAAAUAUGAGCAUGGGGGCGAAAGACUAAUCGAACUG
rnacentral:rRNA from 1 species